rnacentral:lncRNA from 10 species
CAUGCAGCUGCUGUCUACAGACCCCCUGGACUGCCUGGGGAAGUGAGUCGGAGCUCCUGCAGCAGAGGGGUGGAACAGCUACACGAAGAUCCGAAGGUGGCCAAAAAUAACAGCGCUUUCCAGAUGAGGGAGCCAGUUGUCCAGCACAGUGUCAUGGGACAGUGGGCCCUGGUGCCACAAUGCCCGGCAUCUCCACCAGAUACAGCUUUGAGAUCUUCAUGAUGAAGCUUGCUCCAAUCCAAGGGCUGUCAGGUGGGGUUUGCGGUUCAGCUGCUAACCUUUCUUUGAUCCAAAUCCUGUCUUCACUGGCUUCAAGAAUCCUGUCUUCACUGGCUUCAAAACUGGGAUGAAGGAGGCUCCUUAGUGGAGAGCAAAGCAAAGAGGUAUUUGACACAGGGAUAAAGGGAUUGAUAGAAGUCAGGGACUGUCUCCAGGGAGAAGUGAUCUUUGAGCUGAAUCUAGA